rnacentral:rRNA from 1 species
AUUGAACGCUGGCGGCAGGCCUAACACAUGCAAGUCGAACGAGUGGCGGACGGGUGAGUAAUGUCUGGGAAACUGCCUGAUGGAGGGGGAUAACUACUGGAAACGGUAGCUAAUACCGCAUACCCUCAGAUUUGCCCAGGGGGGAUUAGCUUGUUUGUGGGGUAACGGCUCACAAAGGCGACGAUCCCUAGCUGGUCUGAGAGGAUGACCAGCCACACUGGAACGGGGACACGGUCCAGACUCCUAAGGGAGGCAGCAGUGGGGAAUAUUGGACAAGGGGCGAAAGCCUGAUGCAGCCAGGCCGGGUGUAUGAAGAAGGCCUUCGGUUUGUAAAGUACUUUCAGCGGGGAGGCGUUACCCGCAGAAGAAGCACCGGCUAACUCCGUGCCAGCCGCCGCGGUAAUAC